UAAGACGUAGGAGGCGAGCGUUAUCCGGAUUUAUUGGGCGUAAAGGGCGUGUAGGUGGCUGGGAAAGCCCCUUGUGAAAUCUCAGGGCUUAACCCUGAGGGGUUAAGGGUGACUUCCCAGCUUGAGGACAGCAGAGGGAGAUGGAGUUCCCGGUGUAGCGGUGAAAUGCGUAGAUACCGGGAGGAACACCAGUGGCGAAGGCGAUCUCCUGGGCUGUUUCUGACGCUGAGGCGCGAAAGCGUGGGGAGCAAACAGGAUUAGAUACCCUGGUAGUCCACGCCGCAACCUAUGGACACUGGGUAUGGGGGGUAUCGACCCUCUCUGUGCCGAAGCUAACGCGUUAAGUGUCCCGCCUGGGGAUUACGGUCGCAAGGCUA
rnacentral:rRNA from 1 species